rnacentral:rRNA from 1 species
UACGUAGGGUGCAAGCGUUAAUCGGAAUUACUGGGCGUAAAGCGUGCGCAGGCGGCUUUGCAAGACAGAUGUGAAAUCCCCGGGCUUAACCUGGGAACUGCAUUUGUGACUGCAAGGCUGGAGUGCGGCAGAGGGGGAUGGGAAUUCCGCGUGUAGCAGUGAAAUGCGUAGAUAUGCGGAGGAACACCGAUGGCGAAGGCAAUCCCCUGGGCCUGCACUGACGCUCAUGCACGAAAGCGUAGGGGAGCGAAACAAGG